GAGCCGAGCGCGCGGAGCAGCUGGGGCCGGGGCGCGGAUGCUGGAAGUUCACAUCCCGUCGGUGGGGCCCGAGGCCGAGGGGCCCAGGCAGAGCCCGGAGAAAAGCCACAUGGUGUUCCGAGUGGAGGUGCUGUGCAGCGGGCGCAGACACACGGUGCCGAGGCGCUACAGCGAGUUCCACGCGCUGCACAAGCGGGUGAGGCGGCGCCGACCUCCCACCGGCCCCGGCCCAGCCUCUGUCCAGUCCCCGCCCAGGCCCUGUGAGGCGGGCGGGCGAGCUCCAGCCCCAGCCUCCGCCACCCCCAUUACUGCCUCAGUCCCUGCGCAGCCGGUCAGCCCCCGGGCCUCUGUGGGUGGGUUGGGGCCUUCCUCGCCCUCGGCCGGUCCACCACUCACCAGGGUCUGUCCCAGUAGAGCCCGAAGGCGGGGGCGCGGGAGGGCUUCUGGCUCGGGCGAAGAGGGCUUGAGGGCUCAGUCGGGAUGCUGUGAUCGCACGCGGUAAACCUCCAGUAGAUCAAGAAGCUGUACAAAGUGCCCGACUUCCCCUCGAAACGCCUGCCCAACUGGAGGACCAGAGGGUUGGAACAGCGCCGGCAGGGCUUGGAGGCUUACAUCCAGGUAUGCGAGAGCACAGUUGGUUGCCCCCCGGCCUGCUGUGCCAGGAGUGUGGCCCAGACAGAGAGGUGUGGGGGCAUGGCAGGGAGGGAACCCACAACUUGGGGAUGUUAUUCACCACCUCAAGCAUCAAUUUUCUGAGUCUAAUAUAGGUCCAAACACCCCCCUCUGGCUUGUUGAAAGGACUGAAAGAGGUAACGGACACAGGUAGUCCCAGCUCCAUGAAACCUAGGUCCUGUCCCCUCCAUGGUGAGGUCCUGUGCUGCCCUCCUGAUGGCCUGUAGGGUGAGGGUCCUUCCCCCAACAGCAAAGCUAUGCCGCGUCAUGGGGUACAACCUGUGCACACAGCGCCCAGCGCCCAGAAGGGCCCUGAGCCUGGUUCAAUGCUCUGCUGUCAUUGUCGUGAAAUUCUUUUUUUGGAACAAAGAGCCCUGCAUUUUCACUGGCACUGCGCUAUGCAAAUUAGUAGCUGGGUCUGAUUGCAGGUCUCCUCUGUCCUCUCCAGGGCAUCCUGUACCUGAACCAGGAGGUGCCCAAGGAGUUACUGGAAUUCCUGAGACUUCGGCACUUCCCCACAGACCCCAAGGCUAGCAACUGGGGGUAAGGGGGGCCGAUGGCGGGGGCCAGGGGCUGUCAGCAGUGAGCAGGUGAGGAAAGGUGUUGGAGGGCAAGCCCUUUCUUUUCACAUCUGCCAGGAUCCAGCAUGACCGCCCUCACCAGCUCUCUUGACCUGGGUGGAGGGGCUUUUUUUUGGACAGACUUGGUUACCCCCGCCACCUCCGGAACUGGGGCUUGUUACAAAUAGAAGCAGUGGUCCCCUGGGAGGUGCAGUUCUGGGUUCUGGUGUCUCCACCCCUUCCUCACGCUCCCCGGGCAUCCCCAGGCAGCUUACAGUGUUUCUCUUCUCUUCAGCACCGUGAGGGAGUUCCUGCCUGGCGACAGCAGGCAAGUCAAAGCCCUAGCCCGCGCCUGGCCCCUGCUGCCCCCUAGUGGCCAUAUGCUAGGAGGCAGGCCUGCAGCCUGGGCCUGUCUGGCCUGGGCCCUGAAGUCUGUUUUCCCUUUGGUGCCUCCUGAGCCCAUUUCCCACUCCCAUUUUCCUUCAUGGGUCCCUGGUGAUGGCAACCCCGUCUCCACCCCUCUGUGGGAUUCUGCCCUGCCUCCCGCACCCAUGGUUCAUGACCCUCUUUCCUCCCAGCUCCCAGCAGCACCAGCGGCCUGUCCUGAGCUUCCAUGUGGAUCCCUAUGUUUGCAACCCCUCCCCAGGUGAGGAGGUGCCUAGAUAUGGGGCUACAGGGCUGGGUUGUGGGCUUUGCAUUUCUCGGCUCCUGGGACCCUCAGGCAGCAUCUCCUUCCUGCUGCCCACCUCUGGAGCCACUACCUCCUGCUCCUGUCCCCUGGAGCCUGCUUUGUAGACACAAGGAAAACAAGUUUGGCUUCCCUGGUCUCCAUUUCUUCAGCAGCCUGACUUCUUUACCAAGCUGAUGUGAAAAGAAUGUGACCUGGGAAUGCGGAGGCUUCAUUUGGGGUGGACAGCUGCUGUCUGCUGCCUUGGCAGGGGCUCCUACUCCCAAGUGGGGGCUGAGCCCAUGAGCAGGAGCUCAAGGAGCUGCAGGUCUGAGGCCAGACCUGUUUAAUUCUAUCCCACAGAGUCGCUGCCCAACGUGGUGGUGAAUGGUGUGCUCCAGGGCCUCUACAGCUUCAGCAUCAGCCCAGAUAAAGCCCAGCCAAAGGCGGCCUGUCACCCUGCUCCUCUGCCACCGAUGCCCUGAUCAGUCCAGAGGCCUUUGGCUGCCUCCUAAGAAAGUCAUGUGCCUCUGUCCUAUGAACUCCAUAUAAGGCUGGGUCCUCCUUUGGCCUGGAACCAGGACUUAAUUACCCAGUGCCCAGUUGUGCCACAUUCCCACUCAAGGCUCAGAACUUGGCUCGCAUUGGUAGCUGGAGGUGGUAGAAUCUGCAUGCUCUUAGAGCCCAACAGCCAAGGCAGGGUCAAGAAGAUAAGUAAUAAAAGAGGAAGUCAGCCAGGCGCGGUGGCUCAUGCCUGUAAUCCCAGCACUUUGGGAGGCCAAGGUGGGUGGAUCACCUGAGGUCAGGAGUUCGAGACCAGCCUGACCACCAUGGAGAAACCCCGUCUCUACUAAAAAUACAAAAUUAGCCGGGCAUUGUGGUGGUGCAUGCCUGUA
rnacentral:sRNA from 1 species